rnacentral:misc_RNA from 1 species
AACGCACAUUGCGCCCGCUGGUAUUCCGGCGGGCAUGCCUGUUCGAGCGUCAUUAUAACCAAUCAAGCUCUGCUUGGCUUUGGGGCCCGCUGUACUGGCGACUCUUAAAAUCAGUGGCGGUGCCGUCUGGCUCUAAGCGUAGUAAUAUUUCUCGCUACAGGGUUCAGUCGUUCACCCGUCAGAACCUCCAAUUUUCUUAGGUUGACCUCGGAUCAGGUAGGGAUACCCGCUGAACUUAA